rnacentral:lncRNA from 1 species
CUCCGUGGCCGCCCAGGCGCCACAGCGGGGAGCCGCGGUCGACCCCUCCGGGAUGGGGGCCAGGGCAGCCUCCGCGGCUAUCCCGGGAGUCCUGCUCCGACACCACCUCCACAGGGGAAGCCGCUCGGAGAGACGCAGGGACCCAGGCAAGGGAUGCGGGCAAACGCGCCAAGGGUUCAGCAGAGGGGCGUGACCGCCAGUUGGCCGGGCUGAGCGAGGCGCCAGAGGGAAGCCUGCAAGGUACGUCUGCGAGAGCCGGGUGCGGGCGCGGCAGGGGAAAAGGGGGGCGCUGACUCUCUUACCGCCAGGUCCGGAUUGCGGCUGUCCCUGUGUGACACGGCUCGGAUGACCCCCGCUCGCCAGCUUCGCCAGCCGCGUCCGCUCUCCCAGCGCUCCGAACGUGCCUCGUCGCCGACCGCCACACACAGGAACCGCUUACCCACCAGCUCUGCCCGCGUCUCUACCGCCAUAGCUGUCGCUGCCGAAGCGGCCGCUGCCUCCUCCAGUGCGAGGGAACCGAUGAAACCUCACUCCUACCGGCCGCUCAUGCUGAGGAGAGCGGACCGGGACACAGCAGCGGACCCGAAAGAGCGCAGACUCGGGACGAACCGGCCGCUCUGCCCCGGACACAGCGACCUCGGGCCCUCCCCGCAAACACUCCUUUGGACUCCCAGAUUCGCAGCCUUGUGCUGCAGCGCCACACAAGAAAACUGAAACAAAACCCAACGCGGCCGUCGAAGACCCCGAGGCAGCCCAGCCGCCGCCACCGCGCCGCGGCCAGUACUGCUCCGUCUCCCUCCCCGGGCAGCGGCGGCGCGCAGCGCGUCUCCUUCCGCCGGCGCGGGCGGGGCAGCAGCCGCGGGAGGGUCGGCGGAACCACCGCAGACGGAAAGUAGUGCCCGGCCCUGCGGAGGCGGCAGCGGCCACUGGGUCCGUCCAGAUCCAGAGGCGGCGGCGGCGGCGGCAGCGGGAGACGAAAAAAUGAAGAGGGCCGCGGGAAAGUAGGCGACAGCUAUUCAAAGCUUUUGGGGGUCUACCUUUGUAUUCGUUGCUCCCUCAGAGGUGGAGGUGAGGGGAAAGUGAAGUGUAGUGGUUCCACUCUGAUCACAAAAUAAACUCCUGGGUUGACGCCUCACCCGCGGUUUGAUGUUCAGAGCACACAGCGCCCGCCGCCUGAGUUAGCCUGAAUUAGCAGUCCCGCAGUAACAGCAGCAGAGCAGGACAACACUUCUACUGAAAACUAAGCCCCAAAGUCACAGCAGAACCAACCGUUCAUGACUUCAAGGGAAAACGAGGGGGAAAAUGUGAUCCUUUCAUUCUUCUCAUUUGUGGUGAUACUAAUUACAUGUUUAAGCUAUUCACAGAUUUAAAUUCGUCACUGCUUUAUUAUAAGAACAGCAAAUGCUCCGUGGCGGGCCCUUGUCAACGUCCUGAAAUUUCACAAACCGUGUCUGCGACAGUCUUAGUACUUUUAGUACUGGUACACAGCUCAAACACACUGGUCAGAUAAUAAAAGCAGAGAAAAUCCCCAGAUUCAGUUAUUAGAAAAUACCAUGGAAAGAAAAGGAUUUUAGCCAAUCACAAUUCAAGAAAAAAAAUAUUUAUUUCCCAUCCAAUUACAAUCGGACUCCCUAACCCACACAAAGAUCUCUAACUUGGAACAAUCACUCUUCUUUGAUCAACUUAUUUGUUAUAAAUCAAACCUCCCUACAAAUGUCAGUGAGCAGUUCGAUUUCAGGCACCCUUUAUACUGCUUUUUUAUAGGUAGUCCAAUAUUCUAAAUUUCAGUUUCUUGAGAUUUUCCUGAACCUCUAUUUAAAAAAAAAAAGUUAACAGAGUUUACAGUAGUAAUCUGAAUGUUUAAAAUAACUAUAAGGCUUUUAUCUGUUUUCUCUAGAACACUCAAGCUGGGCAAUUUGAAGUGGAGAAACACAACCACUGCUAAUAGGUUAGAAACCAAAAUUAUAAGGAAGAUGGAUUUUAAUAAUCAUGGUCAAAUUUUGCCAAAGACCAAACAUAGAACUGUAAUAAAUAGGCUGGGCACGGUGCCUCACGCCUGUAAUCCCUGCACUUUAGGAGGCAGAUCACCUGAGGUCGGGAGUUCGAGACCAGCCUGGCCAACAUGAUGAAACUAAAUGUAUUUUUAGUCUCUACUAAAAAUACAAAAAAUUAGCUGGGCAUGGUGGAGCAUGCCUGUAAUCCCAGCUACUCAGGAGGCAGCAGGAGAAUCACUUGAACCUGGGAGCUGGAGGUUGCAGUGAGCCGGGAUCGUGCCACUGCACUCCAACCUGGUCAACAAGAGCAAAACUCAGUCCCCCCGAAAACAAACAAACAAACAAAAAACCUGUAAUAAAUUAAAACAGCAAAACAUACCCAAAAAUGCAUAUCGGCAAGUUGAGAGAAAAAAUUUUGCUUGGGCAAUUUUAUUUCCAAGUCCACUUUUUCAGUGUACACUGUAUAAUACUUAGCAAAUUAUCUUAAGAAUUACAGAUGAAGAUUUCUAAAAUCAGUGUAGAUUAAGGAACCAGUAAAGUGACUUGGUGACAAUAAUUCAACAUAUGUAAGGAUAAAAGAGUAGGGAGAUCAACAUCCAGAUACCAAGUCAUCAAUGAUCUGCUUUGUGACCAUGGGCAUGAUGCAAUUGUAAAAAUGCAAAAAUGCCUGAAUCCUAAUUUUCAGUGAUAUCCUAGGAGCAAACGAAAAAUACAAAUAAAGUCAUUUGAGAAAAACAUGCAAAUUCAUCAGUUAUUACAUAAAUCCCACUCACCAAAUUACAUUCUUAAGAGUAUAGGUUGCUAGUUGCCUUAUAUAAAACUGCCAGCUGUUUUCAAUUUUGUAGGCAAACUGCUCUAAAUGGGCCCCUGGGAACUCCCACUACAUGUUGAAUUCCAUCCUUUUCAGUCCUCUGAAAAGCAUGUAAUCCAACAAAUCAAUCAAAAUAUUUCAUGUAUAGAAACAAAGUUUUUCAGGAGGGCAUAUAUCCCCAAAAUAUUUUUAAUCAAGUAUCUUAAUAUUCUUAGAACUCUGGUCCAAAUUCUCUUCUACUAAUCCCUUGACUACAGCCAAUGCCUAGAGUUUACACUAAUUUGUGGAUAUUUUGCUGUUGGAAAAAUUUAAAAGUACAUUUUUUUAAAUGUAGAAUAAAAAGUCCUUAAAGAUUUUUUGUUUGUUUGCUGGCAUUUUUUGCUUCGUUUUGUAUUAAGGGGUAUUUUUAUUAUUUUAUUUUUGCCAGCAAAUCAUAACUUUGUAAAUAACAAGGAAUUUAAAAAAUUUUUCAAGUUGGUUUUGAAACUUCAGAAUAUUUGUUUCUUAACUUGUUUCCUUACAUUCUUUACUUCCAUAAAGAUACUCGGAAACAGAAGAGUAAUGGUAUUUGUUUUCAUUAUACAGGAUAUAUAAGCUCCAUAAGGCAUCUUUGUCUUGUUCAUAACUAUACUCCCAGCAGCUACCAGGCCUUGCUAAGAGAUGAUAAAACAUGUUAUAGCAUGAAUGAAUGAAUGAAUGAAUAUAGCAAAAUGUACCUUUUUCUAAAUCUAACUCAACUAAGAGGAACUUAGAAUCUCGGACAUAAAUGAGAGUUCCUGUUCUUCCUACAGGGUUAUUCAUCACCUUCAAAAUAAUGUCUUAUGUACAUUAUCUCUUUUCAUCAUGGAGGUACAAUGUUAAGCCUUCGAAAACAUGCUUCAGUAGAAAAGCAAGGUUUUUCCUGGGAAAAUUUCUAAAGAACAGAUACAGAAGGAAGAGUUACAAUUCUCAAGAAAAAACAUUCAUUUCAUUACCAAACUACCAAUUUAAUACAAACCCAAAAAUGAUCCUAUGAGUGUAUAUCCAAAACACUAGUCUAUUCUUAGUCUUCUAAAAAGAACAGUCUCAAAUAACAUCCUUGAUGGAGCCAAUAUACAAACAUAACUUUCUGACUAUCUUCUUGAUGCCAUGGAAGGAGGGAAAGAGAAGAAAAAAAGGAAGAUAGAAAAGAAAUGAAGGAGGAAGUGAAGCAAUCUCUAUUGGGCCUUCUAAUUGUACUUUCUAUCCAUCUGUUAUCCAGUUUCCAGUUUAAAUUCUGGCUGCACAGGAAUGUACCACUUCUUUUCAACAUUCUCUUCUCUAUUAAAAACAAGGUUGAUUUUUAAUGAUAAAAAAUUAAAAAUUUAGAAAGAAUACACAAAGCAUCAGAAAAUUCCUAAUCUGCUGAGUGAGGAACUACAAGAAAUAAAGAAAUGGAAAGUUGCCAUUGAGCACACAGUAAGAGUCUUGCCAGCGUGUCCCACUGCACUUUUUCUCUGUUCAUCAUCCCUAUCAUAAACGCUCCAACUAUUAACUACCAUUAAAAUAUGCAAGUCUGCACUUUGCAAACAGGUUAGGUUCCAAAAGGGUCGUGUUCUUAUUAAUCUUACAAGCUUUCACUAUUGUUACAAGUUAAUAGCAGCAGGGUAAAAGUCUUCUGUUUAUAUCCAUGAAAGUUCAUUAAGUAAAGGAGGUUCUAAACUUGUAUUAAAACUAUAAAUGAAGGAAAGCCAAUGUAAAAUCUAAACUAAAAAGUAAUACCAACUCAAAAUCUCUGCAUGCUAACCAUAUACUCCAUCUAUGUUCUUCCUCACCAAUGAAGCUAGGUAUUAUAUAAUGAAGGAAAUUUAUAAUCAAGAACACACGUAAUUCAGCAAGGAGCAAAGUAUGCUUUCCUGUCACGUGGUAGGUUCAAACCCCCAAAAUGUUAAAGGACUGACAAAAGUAAUCUUGCUUAGCAAAACAAAUAUUGUUAGAAAGACUUCAGCAUAUGCUAUUUCUCAAAGGUCUCAAAGAAGAUAUACAUAUGAUUAAUACUAAUAUUACUACAUACUAAUUACUAAUAUUAAUACAUACUAAUAUAAUACAAACCAAAGUACUAAAUAACAGUUUUUAAACAUCAUUGUAAAACUGCUUCUUUCCUCUGCUUUCCAAGUUUGGUCAUAAAACCAUUAUAUUAAAACAAAUAGGUCAGGCAUGGUAGCUCUCACCUGUAAUCCCAGCACACUGGGAGGCUGAGUGGGGCGGAUCACCUGAGGUCGGGAAUUUGAGAUCAGCCUGACCAAUACAGUAAAAUGCCUUCUCUACUAAAAAUACAAAAAUUAGCUGGGCAUGGUGGCACAUGGCUGUAGUGCCAACUACUCGGGAGGCUAAGGGAGGGGAAUCACUUGAACGCGGGAAGCAAGAGACUUCAGUGGGCUGAGAUUGCACCACUGCACUGAAGCCUGGGCGACAGAGUGAGACUCAGUCUCAAAACAAACAAACAAACAAACAAACAGUCUAUCAAAACUAACUUGAAAUGGAAGAAUUUUUGCAAUGUUCUACAUUACAAAUAAACUUUUGAAUUGACACUUUUUAACCUUAUAUACCUUCUUCAUCUAUAAUAGAUAAAAAUCCUAUCUCAACUAUUAUAUAUUAUAUAUAAUAAUUUCUUAAUAAUUUCAACUAUUCUAGCUACAAAAAUUAUCUUAAAAGCAAUUGCUUCAUUUGCUUUUAUAUCUAAAUUUGCAUGGAUGCUUCUUUCCCCCACUUGCAAUUUCUUUUUUAUUUAAUUAUUUAUUUUUUUGAGUCAGAGUCUCCCUGUUGCCCAGGUUGGAGUGCAACGGCGUAAUCUCAGCUACUGCAACCUCCACCUCCUGAGUUCAAGCAAUUCUCGUGCCUCAGUCUCCCAAGUAGCUGGAAUUAAAGGCAUGUGCCACCACGCCUGGCUAAUUUUUGUAUUUUUAGUAGAGACGGGGUUUCACUGUGUUGGCCAGGCUGGUCUCUAACUCCUGACCUCAAGUGAUCCACCUGCCUCUGCCUCCCAAAGUGCUGGGAUUGCAGGCAUGAGCCACUGCGCCCCGCCCUGCAAUUUCUUUUUAUAUUCACAAGUUUUAAAAUUUCAUAUAUAGCCAAAUAUGCUAAUAUAUUUAUGUUGCAGCCUUAAGGCAUGCUUUAAAAAUACUCUAUGUAGGUAUUCUUUGGUAUUUUCUUUUAGGAAUUUUAUAAUUCAAUUUUUAUUUAUUUAUUUAUUUUUGAGAUGGAGUCUUGCUCUGUUGCCAGGCUGGAGUGCAGUGGCGCGAUCAUAGGAUCACCGCAACCGCCUUCUCUCAGGUUCAAGCAAUUCUCCUGCCUCAGCCUCCCGAGUAGGUGGGACUACAGGCGAGCGCCACCACGCCCAGCUAAUUUUUGUAUUUUUAGUAGAGACAGGGUCUCAUCAUGUUGGCCAGGAUGGUCUCGAUCUCUUGACCUCAUGAUCUGCCCUCCUCGGCCUCCCAAAGUGCUGGGAUUACGGGCGUAAGCCACUGCCCCCAGCCUAAUUCAAAUUUUAAAUCUGUUAAUGUAUCCCUUAAUUACAAAAGACCUACAGAAUAGAGAUAUAAUACUUUCUAUAAAACUAAUAAAGAUGAAAAAAACAUUAAGUAGGACAAGGAUAUGGUAAAACAAAUGCUCUGUUGUAGAAGUAAUACACAUUUGGUUAAAAAAACUUUUUUUUUUGAGACACGGUCUCACUCUGUCAUCCAGGCUGGAGUGCAGUGGCACAAUCUUGGCUCACUGCAACCUCUGCCUCGGAAGUUCAAGCAGUUCUCCUGCCUCAGCCUCCUGAGUAGCUGGGAUUACAGGCACACAGCACCACACCUGGCUAAUUUUUGCAUUUUUGAGUAGAGACGGGGUUUCACUAUGUUGGCCAGGCUAGUCUCGAACUCCUGACCUCAAGUGAUCCUCCCACCUUGGCCUCCCAAAGUGCUGGGAUUUCAGGCAUGAGCCACUGUGCCUGGCCAGGUAAAAAGAACUUCUAGGAAUUACAGGUCACUUAUUGCAUCGAAACUGGACUUGCCUUUACAUUCUUAAUGUACUUUUACUUUUCCUCAAGAUAUGAACUUAUUGUUGUAAAGCUGAAUUUUCUUUCGCUACUUAAAUCAUUUAUGUAUAUCUGGUAAAUUAUGACUAAAUUUUUGUUAAAUUGCAUAAAGUAAACUGAAAUACAUACUUGGGGCCAGGCACAGUGGCUCACACCUGUAAUUCCAGCACUUUGGGAGGCCAAGGCGGGCGGAUCACCUGAGGUCAGGAGUUUGAGACCAGCCUGGCCAACAUGGUGAAACCUCGUCUCUACUAAAAAUACAAAAAUUAGUUGGGCAUGGUGAUGGGCACCUGUAAUCCCAGCUACUCAGGAGGCUGAGACAGGAGAAUCCCUAGAUCCCGGGAGGCGAACGUUGCAGUGAGCCGAGAUUGCGCUAUUGCACUCCAGCCUAGGUGACAAGAGUGAAACUCUGUCUCAAAAAAAAGAAAAGAAAAAAAGAAAUAAAUACACACUUGGUACACUAAAAAAAAUAAUAAUAAUAAAUAAAUAAAUAAAUAAAUAACUUCUGGGAAGCAAUCUGACCAUCUUUACUGAUAACAGCCUUAAACAAAUCAUACCAUUUGACUCAGUAAUUCGACUCCUUGGAAAUCACCCUCAGUGAACAGACUAAGGAUAUAGAAAUAUGGAAAAAGUAUGUUAGAUGCUUUGGUCAACUGAUUGCUGAGUCUCUCCUCAAUCGCUAAAAUGAGUGGGAGUGUAAGAGUGCUUAUAAAGCGGGCAGCCGUGAAGAAAAGUGUUUUAGGAUGAGAGAGAUACAUACUUGAAUCCUGAAGAAAAUUUAUCAAAGGAUGGGGAUGAAAUAGAAAUAAAAACACCUUUUUUUUUUGUUUUUUUUUGAGACAGGGUCUCACUCUUGUCACCCAUGCUGGAGUGCAGUGGUACAAUCAUGGCUCACUGCAGCCUUGACCCACCUCCCGGGCUCAAGCAAUCCUCCUGCCUCAGCCUCCCAAGUAGCUGGGACCACCGGCAUGUACCACCACGUCCAGCUCAUUUUUUAUUUUUUUGUAGAGACGACGGUCUCACUAUUUUGCUAGGCUUGUCUCAAAUUCUGGCGUUACGCAAUCCUCUCACCUUAGCCUCCCAAAGUGCUGGGACUGCAGGCAUGAGCCACCGUGCUCAGCCCAAAACAAUUUGUUAAACAGAGCAAAAUAAAAUCAAAGAGAAGACUGAAGGUAAUGGGGUCAAAAGUUCCAAAUUAUGUAGUCCAGUCAGCCUACUCUCAAAUUAUUAAAAAAAAAAAAGAAUGAGUAAUAAUGUAAUACGGAAAAUGUGACAAAUUGUUAAAUGAACAAAUUACAGCAAAUCUAAUGAAUGCUGAUAGAAGUUGGAAUAGUGCUUACCCAUGGGGGUGGGUAGUAUUGACUGUGAAGUGGCAUGAAGGUGCUGGAAAUGCCCUAUAUCUUCAUCAUAUAGUGAUGGUUAAGCGAGUAUAAAAUGUAAAGAUAAAUCAUGAAAAUUUGCAGAUGUUCAUGAUUCUAAACAUAAUUAUCCUUUCCUUUACAGUUAUAAUAAAUAAUUACAUCAUUAUUACUUGCAACAUAUGUAGAGUCAUUAUGUCUCUCUCAAAUGCUCAGUUCGAUUAGGACUGCAUUUAUGAACCCUGGACAGCUAAGGAUACUCCCCAUUUUACAAUUUUGUUUUAUGCUUUUAAAAAAAUAAUCCAUCUGAAUACAUACUUCCUAGAGGGAAUAGAAAUAGCCUUCAAUUUGGUCUACAUUAUCACCACUGAAAACUAUGUUUUACUUAGUAAGGAAGAUCUAAUUCCAUGAAAAUAGUUAGCGCUACCUUAAAAAGUUCGGGUACUUGUCAAAAAUGGCUUCCAAAUAUAUUCCUUUUAAUACAGGAUGUGAAAACACUUCCUAAUAAAUUCCUGCAAAAUUAGAUGAUACUGUAUGUACUUCUGAAGGACAGACAAGAAAGUAACCUAAGACCAAAACAAUAGAGGUCUCCUACUACUGGGGAGAAGGAGGAUUAUCAAGAAUAGAGGAAAACAGAGCCUGCCUAAGACUAAUACUGGUCUAGAACAAAAGAGAAAGCUCAAUUCCUACCACCACAAAGCUAAACAGCAUCCAAGGCCCCAUGCCCACCACAACAACACAAACUAGCUCCAAGUAACACCUAAGUAAGAGCAUUCGACUACUAGAGAAGUAGCAAAAGAACAGAGAGAGACCCUCUCUGAAGUUCAGGUGCGCAGAUAAGGCUAACAGGUAAACAUGAAGUAAAAACAUUGGUCAAAACUUUGCAGCAAAUCAAUCCCCAUCUUAAGUACUAGGUGAUAAUAGAUUUAAAGUUGAUAAUGGGCUGGUAGCAGUGGCUCACACCUGUAAUCCCAGCACUUUGGGAGGCUGAAGUGGGUGGAUCAUUUAAGGUCAGGAAUUUGAGACCAGCCUGGCCAACAUGGUGAAACCCUGUAUCUACUAAAAAUACAAAAAAUUAGCCAGGCAUGGUGGCAGGUGCCUGUAAUCCCAGCUACUCGAGAGGCUGAGGCAGGAGAAUUCCUUGAGCCUGGGAGGAAGAGGUUGCAGUGAGCCGAGAUUGCACCACCGCACUCCAGCCUGGGCGACAGAAUGAGAUUUUGUCUAAAAAUAAACAAAUAU